AUGGCUGUCGUCAGCUCGUGUCGUGAGAUGUUGGGUUAAGUCCCGCAACGAGCGCAACCCUUGCCAUUAAUUGCCAUCAUUUAGUUGGGCACUUUAAUGGGACUGCCGGUGACAAACCGGAGGAAGGUGGGGAUGACGUCAAGUCCUCAUGGCCCUUAUGGCCAGGGCUUCACACGUAAUACAAUGGUCGGUACAGAGGGAAGCCAACCCGCGAGGGGGAGCCAAUCUCAGAAAGCCGGUCGUAGUCCGGAUUGUUGUCUGCAACUCGACAGCAUGAAGUCGGAAUCGCUAGUAAUCGCGGAUCAGCAUGUCGCGGUGAAUACGUUCCCGGGCCUUGUACACACCGCCCGUCACACCAUGGGAGUGGGUUUUACCAGAAGUAGUUAGUCUAUCCGCAAGGGGGACGAUUACCACGGUAGGAUUCAUGACUGGGGUGAAGUCGUAACAAGGUAGCCGUAGGGGAACCUGCGGCUGGAUCACCUCCUUUCUGGAGAUGCCGAGUAAGGCUUCCGAACCCUUCGGGGGGAGCGAAGUCGGAAAAGCUCUCACAGGUCUACCCGCUCAACUACACUCAAAACCUCGAUCUUCAUAUAAAAUGACCAGGGACACGUAUUAGGUGUCGCCCGGUCAUGCUGUUUGACAACAGAGGUCGAGAGAUGAAGUGAGAGCCUUAGGUGGCCCUGAACUUUUUAUUUGUCCGAGUUCAGGUGCCAAAUCUAUAGAAGUAUUAGCUGUGACGGCUUUUUGGUGAAAGCAAACUGGAAUAGGGGAUUGAACUUCCCGUUCACACAUGGAGAUCGAGUGCUUAGGCGCUGGUGAUCCAGGUGGGAUUCUGGUCAAGUAAGUAAGUGCGCAGUGGUGGAUGCCUAGGCACGUGUCGGCGAUGAAGGACGUGGCAAGCUGCGAUAAGCCUCGGGGAGCUGCAAGCAAGCUUAGAUCCGGGGAUGUCCGAAUGGGGAAACCCGG
rnacentral:sRNA from 1 species